GCGGGCAUAGCAAUAUGUCAGCGGCAGACGGGUGAGUAACGCGUGGGAACGUACCUUUUGGUUCGGAACAACACAGGGAAACUUGUGCUAAUACCGGAUAAGCCCUUACGGGGAAAGAUUAUCGCCGAAAGAUCGGCCCGCGUCUGAUUAGCUAGUUGGUGAGGUAAUGGCUCACCAAGGCGACGAUCAGUAGCUGGUCUGAGAGGAUGAUCAGCCACAUUGGGACUGAGACACGGCCCAAACUCCUACGGGAGGCAGCAGUGGGGAAUAUUGGACAAUGGGCGCAAGCCUGAUCCAGCCAUGCCGCGUGAGUGAUGAAGGCCCUAGGGUUGUAAAGCUCUUUUGUGCGGGAAGAUAAUGACGGUACCGCAAGAAUAAGCCCCGGCUAACUUCGUGCCAGCAGCCGCGGUAAUACGAAGGGGGCUAGCGUUGCUCGGAAUCACUGGGCGUAAAGGGUGCGUAGGCGGGUCUUUAAGUCAGGGGUGAAAUCCUGGAGCUCAACUCCAGAACUGCCUUUGAUACUGAAGAUCUUGAGUUCGGGAGAGGUGAGUGGAACUGCGAGUGUAGAGGUGAAAUUCGUAGAUAUUCGCAAGAACACCAGUGGCGAAGGCGGCUCACUGGCCCGAUACUGACGCUGAGGCACGAAAAGCGUGGGGAGCAAAC
rnacentral:rRNA from 1 species